GAAAGGAAAGAGUAAAGUUGCAGAGAGAGCAAAAAUUGCGCACAAAGUUACACAAAGCGUUUGUCGUAUAUUGAAUCGUGGAAGAAACGAAGAAUUAUUCUUCUGCAAAGAUCUGUCGUUCAAAAUGUUCCGAAACUUUGUAUUUUUUCAAUCAUCCUUAGAAAUUAAUCUAAAAGUGAGACGAAAUUCAAUGGAAUUUUAUUUACUUUAAUUCUCUUUUGGUCGAGUUUUAAUCAGGACUGGAAUAUAUCGAAGAAUAUAUUUUAACCAAUUCUCUUCCAUAUAAAGCUUCCUCUUUCGAAAGAUUGGAAGAGGAGAAAAGAUCCAUCACCGUCGAUUCCUUUGACGGGUGCAGCGAGAGAAUCAAGGUCACAGGACGAAAAACCGAGGUGCACGUGGCACGGGACGCAUUUCCACGAGGAUGUGAUCGUGCAGAUGGGGCGGUCGGAUGCAGGGGUGAGCUCGGGCGGCCAUGUCGGUUCCCAAUUAAACAAAUGCCCGCUGGAAACUCGAGCAACCCCUCGAGCCAGGCUCCCUCCCUCCCCCUCUCUCUCUCCCUCCGCUCGACCGCAGAAGGGGGAUCGGCGGAGCGCACGUGUCGAGCAGCAUGCGAAAUUCGAAUCGAGGCUGGUCUGCUGCUGAUGUGUGUGGCUUACGUUCGACCUACCUUCCGUCUUUCGAUGUGUGCACGCGUUAUAUACGUAUGCAUUGCUUAUAUAUGUGUUGCACGCGCGCGAAUCGCUGCCACGAUCUUUCGACACACGCGUACAAUCGCGAGAGUGCGGUUGAAAUUUUUGAUUAACCGAUUUGUAUGGGUAAAGAGUUUUGCAUUUACGGAUCAUUUUGUAUUUUGCCCGAGAAUCGAGUGUGUUUUCAAUCGUGCAAGGUGAAUUUAAUCUCGCUCAAACAAAGAAGAAUGUUGUUUUUUAUCUUUAAAUUCAAUGGGAAGAAGAUUAAAGUACGUAUCGUUUCUCGUUUGAUUUUUAUCGAGAAGCUUUGAAAGCUUUUGUGACAAGAUGAAAGGAAAUAUUCGAAUUUUUUUUUUUUUUUUCUUCUUUCAUCUUCGGAAUUUUCAUUUAAACAUCUCGUUGAGAGAUUGGCUUGGUCGGAUAGCAGCGAUGUUUGCGCAAUAUCUGUUGGCACAACAAAGAUUGCUAAUCGAUUUGAAAGAAUGCGAAUAAACGAUGGUCUCUCCGCAAACAAAUCGUGGCAUGGUGGCAUUUGGUGAACAGUUGUUUCGCCAAAUCCGAGAAAGCGAAACGCAAACAUCGAUCUAUGACGCAGAUAACCCUUCUUCUUGCGGCGCAUCAAGGCUGGAGUGCGAGAGGAAAACGAGAGAUGCGAUAAACUUUUACCUUUGACCUUGCACGGGAAAAAGGCGAAUAUAAAUAGAAGGAAAACGAGAGGUUUCAGCACUUUCGACUUGCGAAUUACAUUACGAAUCCAAAUAUUGGAGCGUCUCUAGCAUGCUCGAGGCGAGUCAAACUGUUUGACUUUCCGAUUGUUCUUGCGUUCGGUUUCGUGGUGCAAAGUCUGGCUAGUCAGCAGCCGGACAACGACUGCCUCCGCUAAUCCAGAAAGCGGCUUAAGCAAACGCGAGGAUCCCUUUGGGAAUCUGGCGCUGAUCAGGAAACCAGUCACCGUUCCAGAAGAAACGCCCAUCGAAAAUCCCUUAUGCGUCGAGUACGUUGUACCAUGGAGUUAAAAAAACGUUCGAGAUCAAACGACGUUAAACUCGAAACGAUAUUUUUACGAAAGAAAAAUAGAUAGAAAAAGAGAAUGAGAAUAAUAAGAUUAAGAUUGUUAUUGAACGCAUCGAUAUAAUCUUAUUUUUAUAUUGCGAUAUUAACGAAUGUUGAAAAAAUAUACGAAAGAGUCAGCACUUUGUUCAUUAUCUAUACUUUUUUUACGAGAUACAAUGACGACUGCCAACUAUGCAUCAAAUUUUCUUUUCUCUUCAUUUUCAUCUUUCCAUUAAUUAAUUUAUUAAUGAAAUUAGCUUCCAAAAAAUUAGCUUCCAAUCCAAUGUUCAGUUUAAUUCGAAUUCUUAGAUUUUAUGAAAUGUAUGAUAUAGUCGUAAAGUUUUGGCUGGUAGUGUGUGUGCGCGUGUCCAUUUGCACAGUUAUUUAUAAUGCUAAUAGUGAAAGCUAAUGGAAUUCGAGUGUACUUGGAUCUGCGUUCAGUUUCAACAGUCUUUUAUGGGAAUCCAGACAGAUGGCGUAGUCAUCUUCGCCAGUAACACCCAUCUCUAAGAACAGAGAAUCUCGUAAUAAUGCUUAUUUCUUUUUUUUUUUUCUGAUUCUAAAUCGAUCAUGAUCAAAACUCAGGAUAUUCUGGAUAAAGUAAGAUUGAUUCAGAGUUGCGCAAGUGCAUUGACACAUUGAUUCACGUGUCUUUGUUCUAUCUAAAGUAAUUAAAAUACAUUGAUCUUUUUUAUUACAACUUUUUCUUAAUUUAAAGAUAUUAGAUAUUAAAGAUGUUUGAUUGUAAUGAUUUCAACGAAGAAAGAUAACAUUGCAAAGGCGACAACAAUUCAAAGAUAAAAUACUUUCUUAUACUGCGCGAUUUAAAAUUGUACACGCGAAUCAGUUUUU
rnacentral:lncRNA from 1 species